rnacentral:rRNA from 1 species
UUCAAUGUCAAACCUUCCAGUUGUCGUUCGUUCACUGAAGUUAAGCAACGCCUGGCUAGAUAAGUACUAGGAUGGGUUACCGUCUGGGAACACCGAGU